AACGAACGCUGGCGGCAUGCCUAACACAUGCAAGUCGAACGAGACCUUCGGGUCUAGUGGCGCACGGGUGCGUAACGCGUGGGAACCUGCCCUUAGGUUCGGAAUAACUCCCCGAAAGGGGUGCUAAUACCGGAUAAUGUCUUCGGACCAAAGAUUUAUCGCCUUUGGAUGGGCCCGCGUUGGAUUAGCUAGUUGGUAGGGUAAAAGCCUACCAAGGCGACGAUCCAUAGCUGGUCGGAGAGGAUGAUCAGCCACACUGGGACUGAGACACGGCCCAGACUCCUACGGGAGGCAGGAGUGGGGAAUAUUGGACAAGGGGCGAAAGCCUGAUCCAGCAAUGCCGCGUGAGUGAUGAAGGCCUUAGGGUUGUAAAGCUCUUUUACCCGGGAUGAUAAUGACAGUACCGGGAGAAUAAGCUCCGGCUAACUCCGUG
rnacentral:rRNA from 1 species